UACGGGGGGAGCAAGCGUUGUUCGGAUUUACUGGGCGUAAAGGGCGCGUAGGCGGCCACCGCAAGUCGGUUGUGAAAUCUCUGGGCUUAACCCAGAAAGGUCAACCGAUACUGCGGGGCUAGAGUGCAGAAGGGGCAACUGGAAUUCUCGGUGUAGCGGUGAAAUGCGUAGAGAUCAGCCGGAACACCCAAGGCGAAGGCAGCCUUCUGGGCCUCAUCUGACGCUGUGGCGCGAAAGCGUGGGGAGCGAACGGG
rnacentral:rRNA from 1 species